AUUGAACGCUGGCGGCAGGCCUAACACAUGCAAGUCGAACGAGUGGCGGACGGGUGAGUAAUGUCUGGGAAACUGCCUGAUGGAGGGGGAUAACUACUGGAAACGGUAGCUAAUACCGCAUACCAUCAGAUGUGCCCAGAUGGGAUUAGCUUGUUGGUGGGGUAACGGCCCACCAAGGCGACGCUCCCUAGCUGGUCUGAGAGGAUGACCAGCCACACUGGAACUGAGCCACGGUCCAGCCCCCUACGGUAUGCAGCAGUGGGGAAGAGUGCACAAUGGGCGCAAGCCUGAUGCAGCCAGGCCGCGUGUAUGAAGAAGGCCUUCGGGUUGUAAAGUACGUUCAGCGGGGAGGCGUUACCCGCAGAAGAAGCACCGGCUAACUCCGUGCCAGCAGCCGCGGUAAUAC
rnacentral:rRNA from 1 species